rnacentral:rRNA from 1 species
ACGCGAGGAACCUUACCUGGGCUUAAAUGUAGAGUGCAUUUUUUAGAGAUAGAAAUUCCCUUCGGGGCUUUCUGCAAGGUGCUGCAUGGUUGUCGUCAGCUCGUGCCGUGAGGUGUCGGGUUAAGUCCCAUAACGAGCGCAACCCUUAUCGUUAGUUGCCAGCUGGUAAAGCAGGGACUCUAGCGAAACUGCCACCGUAAGGUGAGAGGAAGUGGGGAUGACGUCAAAUCAGCAGGCCCUUAUGUCCAGGGCUACACACGUGUUACAAUGGCCGGCACAGAGGGCAGCUACCUGGUGACAGGAUGCUAAUCUCGAAAACCGGUCUCAGUUCGGAUCGAAGUCUGCAACUCGACUCCAUGAAGUUGGAAUCGCUAGUAAUCGCGGAUCAGCACGCCCGCGGUCCGAAUACGUUCCGGCCUU